rnacentral:rRNA from 1 species
GACGAACGCUGGCGGCGUGCCUAAUACAUGCAAGUAGAACGCUGAAGGAGGAGCUUGCUUCUCUGGAUGAGUUGCGAACGGGUGAGUAACGCGUAGGUAACCUGCCUGGUAGCGGGGGAUAACUAUUGGAAACGAUAGCUAAUACCGCAUAAUAUUGACUAUUGCAUGAUAGUCAGUUGAAAGGUGCAACUGCACCACUACCAGAUGGACCUGCGUUGUAUUAGCUAGUUGGUGGGGUAACGGCUCACCAAGGCGACGAUACAUAGCCGACCUGAGAGGGUGGUCGGCCACACUGGGACUGAGACACGGCCCAGACUCCUACGGGAGGCAGCAGUAGGGAAUCUUCGGCAAGGGACGGAAGUCUGACCGAGCAACGCCGCGUGAGGGAAGAAGGUUUUCGGAUCGUAAAGCUCUGUUGUAAGAGAAGAACGAGUGUGAGAGUGGAAAGCUCACACUGUGACGGUAUCUUACCAGAAAGGGACGGCUAACUACGUG